AUGAACGCUAGCUACAGGCUUAACACAUGCAAGUCGAGGGGAAACGACAUCGAAAGCUUGCUUUUGAUGGGCGUCGACCGGCGCACGGGUGAGUAACGCGUAUCCAACCUGCCCACCACUUGGGGAUAACCUUGCGAAAGUAAGACUAAUACCCAAUGAUAUCUCUAGAAGACAUCUGAAAGAGAUUAAAGAUUUAUCGGUGAUGGAUGGGGAUGCGUCUGAUUAGCUUGUUGGCGGGGUAACGGCCCACCAAGGCAACGAUCAGUAGGGGUUCUGAGAGGAAGGUCCCCCACAUUGGAACUGAGACACGGUCCAAACUCCUACGGGAGGCAGCAGUGAGGAAUAUUGGUCAAUGGACGAGAGUCUGAACCAGCCAAGUAGCGUGCAGGAAGACGGCCCUAUGGGUUGUAAACUGCUUUUAUAAGGGAAUAAAGUGAGUCUCGUGAGACUUUUUGCAUGUACCUUAUGAAUAAGGACCGGCUAAUUCCGUG
rnacentral:rRNA from 1 species